CUACGGGCGGCAGCAGUGGGGAAUUUUGCGCAAUGGGGGAAACCCUGACGCAGCAAUACCGCGUGAGUGAAGAAGGCCUUUGGGUCGUAAAGCUCUUUUCUUGGGGAAGAUAGUGACGGUACCCAAGGAAUAAGCACCGGCUAACUCCGUGCCAGCAGCCGCGGUAAUACGGAGGGUGCAAGCGUUGUUCGGAUUUACUGGGCGUAAAGGGCACGUAGGCGGCACAGCAAGUUAAGGGUGAAAUCCCGGGGCUCAACUCCGGAACUGCUCUUAAAACUGCUGAGCUAGAGAUAGUCAGGGCGGGUGGAAUUCCAGGUGUAGAGGUGAAAUUCGUAGAUAUCUGGAGGAACACCGGUGGCGAAGGCGGCCCGCUGGGGCUAUUCUGACGCUAAGGUGCGAAAGCGUGGGGAGCAAACGGGAUUAGAUACCCGGGUAGUC
rnacentral:rRNA from 1 species